UGCACGGUGGCGCAGUUGGUAGCACUGUUGCCUUGUUGCUGCAAGGUCCUGGGUUCGAUUCCCGCCCGGAGGUCUUUCUGCAU